UGAACAUGGAUGGACCUGCGGUGCAUUAGCUGGUUGGUGAGGUAACGGCCCACCAAGGCGACGAUGCAUAGCCGGCCUGAGAGGGCGGACGGCCACAUUGGGACUGAGACACGGCCCAAACUCCUACGGGAGGCAGCAGUAGGGAAUUUUCGUCAAUGGGGGGAACCCUGAACGAGCAAUGCCGCGUGAGUGAGGAGGGUCUUCGGAUCGUAAAGCUCUGUUGUAAGAGAAAAACGGCACUCAUAGGGAAUGAUGAGUGAGUGAUGGUAUCUUACCAGAAAGUCACGGCUAACUACGUGCCAGCAGCCGCGGUAAUACGUAGGUGGCGAGCGUUAUCCGGAAUGAUUGGGCGUAAAGGGUGCGUAGGUGGCAGAUCAAGUCUGGAGUAAAAGGUAUGGGCUCAACCCGUACUGGCUCUGGAAACUGAUCCGCUAGAGAACAGAAGAGGACGGCGGAACUCCAUGUGUAGCGGUAAAAUGCGUAGAUAUAUGGAAGAACACCGGUGGCGAAGGCGGCCGUCUGGUCUGGAUUCUGACACUGAAGCACGAAAGCGUGGGGAGCAAAUAGGAUUAGAUACCCUAGUAGUCCACGCCGUAAACGAUGAGAACUAGGUGUUGGGGGAAUAACUCAGUGCCGCAGUUAACGCAGUAAGUUCUCCGCCUGGGGAGUAUGCACGCAAGUGUGAAACUCAAAGGAAUUGACGGGGGGCCCGCACAAGCGGUGGAGUAUGUGGGUUUAAUUCGAACCACCGCGAA
rnacentral:rRNA from 1 species